rnacentral:rRNA from 1 species
CAGGCCUAACACAUGCAAGUCGAGCGGUAGCACAGAGAGCUUGCUCUCGGGUGACGAGCGGCGGACGGGUGAGUAAUGUCUGGGAAACUGCCUGAUGGAGGGGGAUAACUACUGGAAACGGUAGCUAAUACCGCAUAAUGUCGCAAGACCAAAGUGGGGGACCUUCGGGCCUCAUGCCAUCAGAUGUGCCCAGAUGGGAUUAGCUAGUAGGUGGGGUAACGGCUCACCUAGGCGACGAUCCCUAGCUGGUCUGAGAGGAUGACCAGCCACACUGGAACUGAGACACGGUCCAGACUCCUACGGGAGGCAGCAGUGGGGAAUAUUGCACAAUGGGCGCAAGCCUGAUGCAGCCAUGCCGCGUGUGUGAAGAAGGCCUUCGGGUUGUAAAGCACUUUCGGCGGGGAGGAAGGCGUUAAGGUUAAUAACCUUGGCGAUUGACGUUACCCGCAGAAGAAGCACCGGCUAACUCCGUGCCAGCAGCCGCGGUAAUACGGAGGGUGCAAGCGUUAAUCGGAAUUACUGGGCGUAAAGCGCACGCAGGCGGUCUGUCAAGUCGGAUGUGAAAUCCCCGGGCUCAACCUGGGAACUGCAUUCGAAACUGGCAGGCUAGAGUCUUGUAGAGGGGGGUAGAAUUCCAGGUGUAGCGGUGAAAUGCGUAGAGAUCUGGAGGAAUACCGGUGGCGAAGGCGGCCCCCUGGACAAAGACUGACGCUCAGGUGCGAAAGCGUGGGGAGCAAACAGGAUUAGAUACCCUGGUAGUCCACGCCGUAAACGAUGUCGAUUUGGAGGUUGUGCCCUUGAGGCGUGGCUUCCGGAGCUAACGCGUUAAAUCGACCGCCUGGGGAGUACGGCCGCAAGGUUAAAACUCAAAUGAAUUGACGGGGGCCCGCACAAGCGGUGGAGCAUGUGGUUUAAUUCGAUGCAACGCGAAGAACCUUACCUGGUCUUGACAUCCACAGAACUUUCCAGAGAUGGAUUGGUGCCUUCGGGAACUGUGAGACAGGUGCUGCAUGGCUGUCGUCAGCUCGUGUUGUGAAAUGUUGGGUUAAGUCCCGCAACGAGCGCAACCCUUAUCCUUUGUUGCCAGCGGUUCGGCCGGGAACUCAAAGGAGACUGCCAGUGAUAAACUGGAGGAAGGUGGGGAUGACGUCAAGUCAUCAUGGCCCUUACGACCAGGGCUACACACGUGCUACAAUGGCAUAUACAAAGAGAAGCGACCUCGCGAGAGCAAGCGGACCUCAUAAAGUAUGUCGUAGUCCGGAUUGGAGUCUGCAACUCGACUCCAUGAAGUCGGAAUCGCUAGUAAUCGUAGAUCAGAAUGCUACGGUGAAUACGUUCCCGGGCCUUGUACACACCGCCCGUCACACCAUGGGAGUGGGUUGCAAAAGAAGCAGGUAGCUUAACCUUCGGGAGGGCGCUUACCACUUUGUGAUUCAUGACUGGGGUGAAGUCAUAA